CUGAAUUUUUUUCAGGAAACGCUUCCAAUAUUAACAGAACACAUAAAUGCAGCAAUAGUGGACGACGUCAGCAUCGCUCAGAAACAGGGACUCGGCAAAUGGGGUGCCAUCGUUGUUUACUGGCAGGGGAAGAAGAUUCUUUACACGGGGGAGAAAACGAAAGAAAAGUUAGCGACAUAUCUUCACGAGUUCCAAACAGACAAAGAUGGCGACGGCAUACCGGAUGCAAUUGAUCACGACGAUGACGGCGAUGGAAUCCAGGAUCACCAGCACAUAGACUCGGAUGGGGACGGCGUACCGGAUCACUUGGACCAUGACGACGACAAUGAUGGAAUACCAGAUCACCAUGACAAUGACGAUGAUGGAGAUGGAAUCCUGGACCAUCAUGACGAAGAUCAUCACGACUGGCACGGUCACAAGGACACAGAUGGAGACGGCA